rnacentral:lncRNA from 1 species
GCCUGACUUAACACUAAUCAUUCAUUGUGUACCGAAUAUUAGAAGGGAGAUGAGGAUGUGUGAGAAUUCACUUUGAAAACAUGGACUCAGUGUUGCAUAUCCUAAAGCUCCUAAGGGAUUAAACAAUCAGAACACCCUGCCUCAUUUGCAUUUGAAUGGAUAAAAAUAAGAGUUGAAACAUUUCCUUAUUCUUAAAACUACCAUGAAAAAGCUUGUGUAGUUAUAAGGACUGAAGUGGAGUUGGGGAAGGGAAGGAGACCGUAUGAAAUUUAAAGAAAAUUCAUUUCUUUUACAGAAUUGGAGCUGGGCUGAUGAAGCUGAGGUGCCUGACUCCGCUAGGGACACAUUUUCCUAAUGAAAACAAAAACAACCUCCAUCAUUACUCUCUCAUACCUUUGGAAAACUGAUGGAAGGAUGAACUCAACUAUCAAAUGUCAUCUUCAGCAGCAG